GAUUGGUAGAUCUACAUGAACAAUGUGAGUAUUUGCAGGGGAUUAUCGAAAUAGUCUCCAAAUUUUUAGGAGAAGAUGAAAAUUGUUGCUAUUAAUUGUCCUGUAUCAAUUGUAUUCAAUUUUAUUCCUUGUCAAUGGAGAUGAUUAUUGUCUUCAUUAAUGGAUACAAUAGUCAUCCAUUAAUUAUAUUAUUCAAUAGAUCGGAAGAUUAUAGCCCCUUUGUCUGUGGCUUCUUUAUUUUGUUGUUGUUGGUCCACUUUUUUAUUAGUCUGCAGGCUUUUUUGCUGGUACCCUUUUUUCUUGUUUAUUUUG
rnacentral:misc_RNA from 1 species